rnacentral:misc_RNA from 1 species
GCAGUUUUCCAGUGCACACUUGAGGUGAGGCUGUGUUGGUUUUUAAUUUUGGUGCACAUCUAGGUCGAUAAUUUCUCUAAUGGAUUUUGGUGGUCCUGUUUUGGAAGUCCUUACCUUGAUAUUGGCAACAACUAUCAACUUUAUAAUCCAUUGAUUUUUAUGAGAAUGAGUGGUGAAAAUAUUAGAAGUGAUAAAAAAAGAAUAAUAUUAGAACAAUGACAUUAGCAAAAUUGUAUCAUUUGCGCAGUUUUAUACAAAAUGAUCACAAAUGUGUUUUUCCUGCAUUUUAAAUACCUGUUUAACAGUGCCCUGAAUUGAUGUUAUUUUUAUUCAUGAUUUGUUUCUCCAAUGUAUUUGAUAUGACAAGGAUAAUGUGUAUCAUGUUGGAAAGUUAGGUUAGGUUAACUGGCAAUGUUGUAAGUUAUAACUGAACAUGCCAUGGUGUGUGCUGUGAGGAUCCAGGUUUCCAAGUCCAUUAUCUUGUUGAUUUGCAUAUUUAAAAGCUAGUUCUGCAUUAGGUGUCAUGCACAUCUUCCUAUUUUUCUUUGGUGGUUAAUAACUGAAUAUAAUGCUUGUGUUUGAUUAUUAAUUACAGUCAAUUGCACCGUUUUCUACAAGGCCUAAUGUCUUAACUUGAUGCACUUGUAUUGGUGAUGUGAUACACUUCAUAUUAUUCAACACUAGUAAGGUUGAUUGGACAUGUUAACUAUUAAGAACUGUCAUCCAAAACCAGUUUUUGAGGAAAUGAGAACUAAGUUGAACUCUUUAGAACUUUCAGCAUAACUUGUUUGGCUGACAUUUUUAGUUAUUGCACAAUGCAGAUGAUAACCAAAAAUUUUGAAG